rnacentral:snoRNA from 1 species
ACGACCUUACUUGAACAGGAUCUGUUCUAUAGGUUGUACAUCUGUGUCCUUGAGUUCUAAGGAGACAAGAACCGAAGUCUGGUGGAUGAUCUACUGCCUUGAGGCUAGAGCGUGAUUAACGGUUCAACAGGCCUUGGUCUAGCGGCUGUAGAGGAUCGUUCUUGGCAGGCUACCACCUGCCGAGAUGGCCCCAAGGCGGUCUGACAGACU